rnacentral:rRNA from 1 species
GCUUACGGCCAUACCACCCUGAACGCGCCCGAUCUCGUCCGAUCUCGGAAGCUAAGCAGGGUCGGGCCUGGUUAGUACUUGGAUGGGAGACCGCCUGGGAAUACCAGGUGCCGUAAGCC